ACUCCUACGGGAGGCAGCAGUGGGGAAUAUUGCACAAUGGGGGAAACCCUGAUGCAGCCAUGCCGCGUGUGUGAAGAAGGCCUUCGGGUUGUAAAGCACUUUCAGUGGGGAGGAAGGGGUGAUGCCUAAUACGCAUCAUCAUUGACGUUACCCACAGAAGAAGCACCGGCUAACUCCGUGCCAGCAGCCGCGGUAAU
rnacentral:rRNA from 1 species